rnacentral:tRNA from 1 species
GCCAGGCUGGCUCAGUUGGUGGAGCAUGUGACUCUUGAUCUCAAGGUUGUGGGUUUGGGCCCCACAUUGGGUA